rnacentral:rRNA from 1 species
AUUGAACGCUGGCGGCAGGCUUAACACAUGCAAGUCGAACGGUAGCAGGAGAAAGCUUGCUUUCUUGCUGACGAGUGGCGGACGGGUGAGUAAUGCUUGGGAAUCUGGCUUAUGGAGGGGGAUAACUACGGGAAACUGUAGCUAAUACCGCGUAGUAUCGGAAGAUGAAAGUGCGGGACCGCAAGGCCGCAUGCCAUAGGAUGAGCCCAAGUGGGAUUAGGUAGUUGGUGGGGUAAAGGCCUACCAAGCCUGCGAUCUCUAGCUGGUCUGAGAGGAUGGCCAGCCACACUGGAACUGAGACACGGUCCAGACUCCUACGGGAGGCAGCAGUGGGGAAUAUUGCGCAAUGGGGGGAACCCUGACGCAGCCAUGCCGCGUGAAUGAAGAAGGCCUUCGGGUUGUAAAGUUCUUUCGGUAUUGAGGAAGGUUGAUGUGUUAAUAGUACAUCAAAUUGACGUAAAUGCAGAAGAGCCCCGC